GCGGGCGUAGUUCAGCGGUAGAAUGUCUCCUUCCCAAGGAGAAGGUCACCGGUUCAAAUCCGGCCGCCCGCUCUA
rnacentral:tRNA from 1 species